CCUACGGGAGACAGCAGUGGGGAAUAUUGCACAAUGGGGGAAACCCUGAUGCAGCGACGCCGCGUGAGUGAAGAAGUAAUUCGUUACGUAAAGCUCUAUCAGCAGGGAAGAAACACUGACCUUACGGUCAGCAGACGGUACCUGAGUAAGAAGCCCCGGCUAACUACGUGCCAGCAGCCGCGGUAAUCCGUAGGGGGCAAGCGUUAUCCGGAUUUACUGGGUGUUAAGGGAGAGUAGACGGUGCGCCAAGUCUGGAGUGAAAUGCCGCAGCUUACAUGCGGAACUGCUUUGGAAACUGGCGAACUAGAGUGCGGGAGGGGUAAGCGGAAGUCCUAGUGUAGCGGUGAAAUGCGUAGAUAUUAGGAGGAACACCGAUGGCGAAGGCGGCUUACUGGACCGUAACUGACGUUGAGGCUCGAAAGCGUGGGGAGCAAACAGGAUUAGAUACCCUGGUAGUC
rnacentral:rRNA from 1 species